GCUUGGAAUUUUGUGUCAAAGCUCCCUAAUGCUGCCUGGCUAUUAGGCUAUAAGCAGGAGAAUAACUGUUGGUAUAGAAAUUCAUCACAGAACACUCUGUCCAAAACUUAGUGGCAGCCAGAGGAAUCUGUCUCUGAAGGGGAGGAUCAUCUGUCAUUUUGAAAGAUGCUGUGUGAGCUCUAGCACGCUGAAGGGAUUUCUAAACACAAUGCUAUGAGGAGAAUUCUUCUGCUCUGCCAUUCUGCCAUGCUCUUUGUUCCUUGAAACGGGACAGUCUUGGACUGAACUCAAUGAAACUGCAAUCACAGGAGCUGGAGAAGCUGGCAUAUGGAAGAGGCAUACACUGAUAAAGCAACAAAACAUCCUGCCCAAGGAACAGGACAAGGCAGUCUAGUAAAAAAAUCAAGCUUUGAGACAAUAACCACUGUUCUCCAACCAAAUUUGACAGAAAAUGGGACCCAGGCCCUGUCACUUCUUCAGGGGCCAGAUGAGCAAGUGGUGCAUCUACACUCAAAUGAUGCUCAGCACCAGGGUGUCAGGGUGGAAG